rnacentral:rRNA from 1 species
GGGAAACUGUAGCUAAUACCGGAUACGUUCUCCUUUUUACGAAUGGGAGAAGAAAGAUGGCCUCUUCAUGAAAGCUAUCGUGCAAGGAGGAGCUUGCGUACCAUUAGCUAGUUGGUAGGGUAAUGGCCUACCAAGGCAACGAUGGUUAGCGGGUCUGAGAGGAUGAUCCGCCACACUGGAACUGAAACACGGACCAGACUCCUACGGGAGGCAGCAGUGAGGAAUAUUGCGCAAUGGGGGAAACCCUGACGCAGCGACGCCGCGUGGAUGAUGAAGGCUUUCGGGUCGUAAAAUCCUGUCAGAUGGGAAGAAAUGUAUAGAGGUUAAUACCCUCUGUAUUUGACGGUACCAUCAAAGGAAGCACCGGCUAACUCCGUGCCAGCAGCCGCGGUAAUACGGAGGGUGCAAGCGUUGUUCGGAAUUACUGGGCGUAAAGCGCGCGUAGGCGGUUUGUUAAGUCAGAUGUGAAAGUCCACGGCUCAACCAUGGAAGUGCAUUUGAUACUGGCAGACUUGAGUACUGGAGGGGGUGGUGGAAUUCCCGGUGUAGAGGUGAAAUUCGUAGAUAUCGGGAGGAAUACCGGUGGCGAAGGCGACCACCUGGCCAGAUACUGACGCUGAGGUGCG